rnacentral:rRNA from 1 species
GUCGAACGGUAGAGGGGGCAACCCCUUGAGAGUGGCGAACGGGUGAGUAAUAUAUCGGAACGUGCCCAGUCGUGGGGGAUAACGUAGUGAAAAUUACGCUAAUACCGCAUACGAUCUAAGGAUGAAAGCGGGGGAUCGCAAGACCUCGCGCGAUUGGAGCGGCCGAUAUCAGAUUAGGUAGUUGGUAGGGUAAAGGCCUACCAAGCCAACGAUCUGUAGCUGGUCUGAGAGGACGACCAGCCACACUGGAACUGAGACACGGUCCAGACUCCUACGGGAGGCAGCAGUGGGGAAUUUUGGACAAUGGGCGAAAGCCUGAUCCAGCCAUUCCGCGUGCAGGAUGAAGGCCCUCGGGUUGUAAACUGCUUUUGUACAGAACGAAAAGGUCUCUAUUAAUACUAGGGGCUCAUGACGGUACUGUAAGAAUAAGCACCGGCUAACUACGUGCCAGCAGCCGCGGUAAUACGUAGGGUGCAAGCGUUAAUCGGAAUUACUGGGCGUAAAGCGUGCGCAGGCGGUUAUAUAAGUCAGAUGUGAAAUCCCCGGGCUCAACCUGGGAACUGCAUUUGAGACUGUAUAGCUAGAGUACGGUAGAGGGGGAUGGAAUUCCGCGUGUAGCAGUGAAAUGCGUAGAUAUGCGGAGGAACACCGAUGGCGAAGGCAAUCCCCUGGACCUGUACUGACGCUCAUGCACGAAAGCGUGGGGAGCAAACAGGAUUAGAUACCCUGGUAGUCCACGCCCUAAACGAU